rnacentral:rRNA from 1 species
GAUGAACGCUAGCUACAGGCUUAACACAUGCAAGUCGAGGGGCAGCAUUUCAGUUUGCUUGCAAACUGGAGAUGGCGACCGGCGCACGGGUGAGUAACACGUAUCCAACCUGCCGAUAACUCGGGGAUAGCCUUUCGAAAGAAAGAUUAAUACCCGAUGGUAUAAUCAGACCGCAUGGUCUUGUUAUUAAAGAAUUUCGGUUAUCGAUGGGGAUGCGUUCCAUUAGGCAGUUGGUGAGGUAACGGCUCACCAAACCUUCGAUGGAUAGGGGUUCUGAGAGGAAGGUCCCCCACAUUGGAACUGAGACACGGUCCAAACUCCUACGGGAGGCAGCAGUGAGGAAUAUUGGUCAAUGGGCGCAGGCCUGAACCAGCCAAGUAGCGUGAAGGAUGACUGCCCUAUGGGUUGUAAACUUCUUUUAUAUGGGAAUAAAGUUUUCCACGUGUGGAAUUUUGUAUGUACCAUAUGAAUAAGGAUCGGCUAACUCCGUGCCAGCAGCCGCGGUAAUACGGAGGAUCCGAGCGUUAUCCGGAUUUAUUGGGUUUAAAGGGAGCGUAGGUGGACAGUUAAGUCAGUUGUGAAAGUUUGCGGCUCAACCGUAAAAUUGCAGUUGAUACUGGCUGUCUUGAGUACAGUAGAGGUGGGCGGAAUUCGUGGUGUAGCGGUGAAAUGCUUAGAUAUCACGAAGAACUCCGAUUGCGAAGGCAGCUCACUGGACUGCAACUGACACUGAUGCUCGAAAGUGUGGGUAUCAAACAGGAUUAGAUACCCUGGUAGUCCACACAGUAAACGAUGAAUACUCGCUGUUUGCGAUAUACAGUAAGCGGCCAAGCGAAAGCAUUAAGUAUUCCACCUGGGGAGUACGCCGGCAACGGUGAAACUCAAAGGAAUUGACGGGGGCCCGCACAAGCGGAGGAACAUGUGGUUUAAUUCGAUGAUACGCGAGGAACCUUACCCGGGCUUAAAUUGCAUUUGAAUAUAUUGGAAACAGUAUAGCCGUAAGGCAAAUGUGAAGGUGCUGCAUGGUUGUCGUCAGCUCGUGCCGUGAGGUGUCGGCUUAAGUGCCAUAACGAGCGCAACCCUUAUCUUUAGUUACUAACAGGUCAUGCUGAGGACUCUAGAGAGACUGCCGUCGUAAGAUGUGAGGAAGGUGGGGAUGACGUCAAAUCAGCACGGCCCUUACGUCCGGGGCUACACACGUGUUACAAUGGGGGGUACAGAAGGCAGCUACCUGGUGACAGGAUGCUAAUCCCAAAAGCCUCUCUCAGUUCGGAUCGAAGUCUGCAACCCGACUUCGUGAAGCUGGAUUCGCUAGUAAUCGCGCACCAGCCAUGGCGCGGUGAAUACGUUCCCGGGCCU